rnacentral:misc_RNA from 1 species
AAGUCGUAACAAGGUCUCCGUAGGGUGAGUUCCGCCACGACUUCUUUAUACCAUUGAGAACCUUGCUAACGUUAGUAUAGUGAGCCUGCGGAGGGAUCAUUACCGAGUGAGGGUUCCGACCCGACCUCCAACCCCAUGUUAAAAUAUCCAUGUUGCCUCGGGGGUGACCCGGCCCUCGCGGGUUGGGGCCCCGUCGGACCGUUCAACUCUGCAUCCUUGCGUCGGAGUAUAAAGUAAAUGAAUUAAAA